rnacentral:rRNA from 1 species
GGGUUGUGAGGUUAAGCGACUAAGCGUACACGGUGGAUGCCCUGGCAGUCAGAGGCGAUGAAGGGCGUGCUAAUCUGCGAUAAGCGCCGGUAAGGUGAUAUGAACCGUUAUAACCGGCGAUACCCGAAUGGGGAAACCCAGUGUGAUUCGUCACACUAUCAUUAACUGAAUCCAUAGGUUAAUGAGGCGAACCGGGGGAACUGAAACAUCUAAGUACCCCGAGGAAAAGAAAUCAACCGAGAUUCCCCCAGUAGCGGCGAGCGAACGGGGAGGAGCCCAGAGCCUGAAUCAGCAUGUGUGUUAGUGGAAGCGUCUGGAAAGGCGCGCGAUACAGGGUGACAGCCCCGUACACAAAAGCGCAUGUGCUGUGAGCUCGAUGAGUAGGGCGGGACACGUGGUAUCCUGUCUGAAUAUGGGGGGACCAUCCUCCAAGGCUAAAUACUCCUGACUGACCGAUAGUGAACCAGUACCGUGAGGGAAAGGCGAAAAGAACCCCGGCGAGGGGAGUGAAAAAGAACCUGAAACCGUGUACGUACAAGCAGUGGGAGCACNNNNNNNNNNNNNNNNNNNNNUACCUUUUGUAUAAUGGGUCAGCGACUUAUAUUCUGUAGCAAGGUUAACCGAAUAGGGGAGCCGGAGGGAAACCGAGUCUUAAUUGGGCGUUAAGUUGCAGGGUAUAGACCCGAAACCCGGUGAUCUAGCCAUGGGCAGGUUGAAGGUUGGGUAACACUAACUGGAGGACCGAACCGACUAAUGUUGAAAAAUUAGCGGAUGACCUGUGGCUGGGGGUGAAAGGCCAAUCAAACCGGGAGAUAGCUGGUUCUCCCCGAAAGCUAUUUAGGUAGCGCCUCGUGAAUUCAUCUCCGGGGGUAGAGCACUGUUUCGGCUAGGGGGCCAUCCCGGCUUACCAACCCGAUGCAAACUGCGAAUACCGGAGAAUGUUAUCACGGGAGACACACGGCGGGUGCUAACGUCCGUCGUGAAGAGGGAAACAACCCAGACCGCCAGCUAAGGUCCCAAAGUCAUGGUUAAGUGGGAAACGAUGUGGGAAGGCCCAGACAGCCAGGAUGUUGGCUUAGAAGCAGCCAUCAUUUAAAGAAAGCGUAAUAGCUCACUGGUCGAGUCGGCCUGCGCGGAAGAUGUAACGGGGCUAAACCAUGCACCGAAGCUGCGGCAGCGACACUGUGUGUUGUUGGGUAGGGGAGCGUUCUGUAAGCCUGUGAAGGUGUGUCGUGAGGCAUGCUGGAGGUAUCAGAAGUGCGAAUGCUGACAUAAGUAACGAUAAAGCGGGUGAAAAGCCCGCUCGCCGGAAGACCAAGGGUUCCUGUCCAACGUUAAUCGGGGCAGGGUGAGUCGACCCCUAAGGCGAGGCCGAAAGGCGUAGUCGAUGGGAAACGGGUUAAUAUUCCCGUACUUGGUGUUACUGCGAAGGGGGGACGGAGAAGGCUAUGUUGGCCGGGCGACGGUUGUCCCGGUUUAAGCGUGUAGGUGUGUGUUCCAGGUAAAUCCGGUUCACUUUAACACUGAGGCGUGACGACGAGGCACUACGGUGCUGAAGCAACAAAUGCCCUGCUUCCAGGAAAAGCCUCUAAGCAUCAGGUAACAUCAAAUCGUACCCCAAACCGACACAGGUGGUCAGGUAGAGAAUACCAAGGCGCUUGAGAGAACUCGGGUGAAGGAACUAGGCAAAAUGGUGCCGUAACUUCGGGAGAAGGCACGCUGACACGUAGGUGAAGUGAUUUACUCAUGGAGCUGAAGUCAGUCGAAGAUACCAGCUGGCUGCAACUGUUUAUUAAAAACACAGCACUGUGCAAACACGAAAGUGGACGUAUACGGUGUGACGCCUGCCCGGUGCCGGAAGGUUAAUUGAUGGGGUCAGCGCAAGCGAAGCUCCUGAUCGAAGCCCCGGUAAACGGCGGCCGUAACUAUAACGGUCCUAAGGUAGCGAAAUUCCUUGUCGGGUAAGUUCCGACCUGCACGAAUGGCGUAAUGAUGGCCAGGCUGUCUCCACCCGAGACUCAGUGAAAUUGAACUCGCUGUGAAGAUGCAGUGUACCCGCGGCAAGACGGAAAGACCCCGUGAACCUUUACUAUAGCUUGACACUGAACAUUGAGCCUUGAUGUGUAGGAUAGGUGGGAGGCUUUGAAGUGUGGACGCCAGUCUGCAUGGAGCCGACCUUGAAAUACCACCCUUUAAUGUUUGAUGUUCUAACGUGGACCCGUUACCCGGGUUGCGGACAGUGUCUGGUGGGUAGUUUGACUGGGGCGGUCUCCUCCUAAAGAGUAACGGAGGAGCACGAAGGUUGGCUAAUCCUGGUCGGACAUCAGGAGGUUAGUGCAAUGGCAUAAGCCAGCUUGACUGCGAGCGUGACGGCGCGAGCAGGUGCGAAAGCAGGUCAUAGUGAUCCGGUGGUUCUGAAUGGAAGGGCCAUCGCUCAACGGAUAAAAGGUACUCCGGGGAUAACAGGCUGAUACCGCCCAAGAGUUCAUAUCGACGGCGGUGUUUGGCACCUCGAUGUCGGCUCAUCACAUCCUGGGGCUGAAGUAGGUCCCAAGGGUAUGGCUGUUCGCCAUUUAAAGUGGUACGCGAGCUGGGUUUAGAACGUCGUGAGACAGUUCGGUCCCUAUCUGCCGUGGGCGCUGGAGAACUGAGGGGGGCUGCUCCUAGUACGAGAGGACCGGAGUGGACGCAUCACUGGUGUUCGGGUUGUCAUGCCAAUGGCACUGCCCGGUAGCUAAAUGCGGAAGAGAUAAGUGCUGAAAGCAUCUAAGCACGAAACUUGCCCCGAGAUGAGUUCUCCCUGAGACUUAGAGUCUCCUGAAGGAACGUUGAAGACGACGACGUUGAUAGGCCGGGUGUGUAAGCGCAGCGAUGCGUUGAGCUAACCGGUACUAAUGAACCGUGAGGCUUAACCUUACAACGCCGAAG